CCUCUGGAUCAUGAAGAUCAAAUCGAUUAUAUUCUUGGUGGCCUGCCAGAUGAUUACAAACAGGUGGUGGAACAGAUUGAGAGUCGCGAUGCUCCUCCAUCGCUCACUGAAAUUCAUGAAAAGCUCAUUAACUUCCAAG
rfam:Eutrema salsugineum unplaced genomic scaffold scaffold_2, whole genome shotgun sequence.